GAUGAACGCUGACAGCAUGCUUAACACAUGCAAGUCUUUGGUGAAGCUGUGCUUGCACAGCCUAGCCAAGGCGGACGGGUGAGUAACGCGUAAGGAACUUGCCCUGCAGUCAGGGAUAACAGACGGAAACGACUGAUAAGACCUGGUAAAGUCAGGCGGACUCAUGUCCAGCCUGAUGAAAAGAGAUGCUGCAGGAGAGCCUUGCGUCCUAUUAGCUUGUUGGUGGGGUAACGGCCCACCAAGGCAAUGAUAGGUAGCCGGCCUGAGAGGGUGGACGGCCACAAGGGGACUGAGAGACGGCCCUUACUCCUACGGGAGGCAGCAGUGGGGAAUAGUGGACAAUGGGGGCAACCCUGAUCCAGCAAUUCUGUGUGCACGAUGAAGGUUUUCGGAGUGUAAAGUGCUUUCAGCAGGGAAGAAAAAAAUGACGGUACCUGCAGAAGAAGCGACGGCUAAAUACGUG
rnacentral:rRNA from 1 species